GCCGGGUUAGCCAAGGGGUCAAAGGCGGCAGAUUCAAGACCUGUUCCCGCAGGGGUUCGCAGGUUCGAAUCCUGCACCCGGCA
rnacentral:tRNA from 1 species